AUGGUCGUGCAGGUGCCGUAUUUCAUGCAGGUGCCCCAUUUGGAGGUCAUUGAACGUGUCUCGUCGAUUCUCAAGGAUAAUGGUUUUUGUCCUACUAGUGAAUGGACAGAAAUUGGAAACCUCUGCCCCUAUGAGGAUGUGUUGUCCAGUGAGGAUGUACCUAACAAAUCUGGGGAAAGUGACACAAACAGGGAAGCUCUAGAAAUGGAUUAUCUACAGACAGUAGUGAACAAGGCCACAAGAAAGAGAAAACCAAGACGAUGGGAGCUCAAACUCGCCAGGAGAAGCUUCUUCCCAUGGUGGAGAUCAGUGUUAUCUGCCCGGUCUAAAGUCAAGAUCAUCAUCCCCCACAAAUGGGCACGUCCUUCUGAAUGCUUGGAUCUCGAGAUGGCUUGGAAGAAACCUACUCAAGGCUUGGAUGGUGAGACAGCUUCGAAGAAGGAAACCGUCGAGGAUGGGUCUGCUGCUGCAGGUCACGGCGUGAUGGGCCGAUUUCCCAUGGUGGUAUAUAGUAGCAAGCCCGGUGAGCUGUUUACUACAAUACCGCUCGCUGAUAUACCCAAAUACAUGAAGCAACAACAGAGAAGGCAAUCCAGAAGGCUGUUUAGUACAGCGGUUAAUUAUCAGCCCAGGAUGGUGAUUGGUACAGGAGUGAAUCCUCAACCCGGAAGAAGGCUGUUUGGUACAGCGGCAUUGAUGCUGCUCAAAGUCGCGGCGGUGAUGGUUGGGUCAUCAUCUUCCUGCCAUCAAGCGUGGAUCGUGGCGGCGGCUGGAUCUGAGGUGAGGGAAAGGUUGCUGGUGUUCCAGGAAGGACAGUUCUAUGAUGCGAUUGGAAGUAUCCAAGUUGCAAGAAGACGUUCGGUCCAUCAGUUCCAAACAAGCCAAAUGCCCAGGCACCAUCGGGCCCAGAUCAGCCUAGUACUAGUCAUGUGGUACAUUCUCCCACUCUGCAACAGGAACAAAUCCCAGAUCAGCAGGCCAGAAACGAUGCUCUCAGGAAACAGUUGGAACUAG
rnacentral:rRNA from 1 species